rnacentral:lncRNA from 1 species
AUGAGUGAAUGUGCUUUCCCUGUCCAUGGAGAUGCCAGGCACCUCAGAACGGGCUACAUCAUGAGGAGUGAACCAGUGAAGCAGCUCCACUUCAACCUGCCCUGCCGCAUAGAGGCGCUUGUGAGAGAGUUAAUGCCUGAGCACCAAUACCCUUGGGCUGCUGCUGCUGCCUGUGUCCUCCUGCACAUGCCCCGGGCUCCUGCUGCUGCUUGCCCCUGCUGGGGCUUUUCUACCGUGGCCUUCCUUCUCCUGAAGACUUCCCGUGACGUCUCAGGCCUGCUCCGAGUUGCUCCUUGCAUCUCCUCAGCACAUGUGCAGAGCUGA